rnacentral:rRNA from 1 species
UCAAAUGAAUUGACGGGGGCCCGCACAAGCGGUGGAGCAUGUGGUUUAAUUCGAUGCAACGCGAAGAACCUUACCUGGUCUUGACAUCCACGGAAGUUUUCAGAGAUGAGAAUGUGCCUUCGGGAACCGUGAGACAGGUGCUGCAUGGCUGUCGUCAGCUCGUGUUGUGAAAUGUUGGGUUAAGUCCCGCAACGAGCGCAACCCUUAUCCUUUGUUGCCAGCGGUCCGGCCGGGAACUCAAAGGAGACUGCCAGU